rnacentral:rRNA from 1 species
GACGAACGCUGGCGGCGUGCUUAACACAUGCCAGUCGAACGGUGAACUCCGCUUGCGGGGGGAUCAGUGGCGAACGGGUGAGUAACACGUGGGCAACCUGCCCUCAGCUCUGGGAUAACUCCAAGAAAUUGGGGCUAAUACCGGAUAUGACCGCUGACCGCAUGGUCUGGUGGUGGAAAGAUUUAUCGGCUGGGGAUGGGCCCGCGGCCUAUCAGCUUGUUGGUGGGGUAGUGGCCUACCAAGGCGACGACGGGUAGCCGGCCUGAGAGGGUGACCGGCCACACUGGGACUGAGACACGGCCCAGACUCCUACGGGAGGCAGCAGUGGGGAAUAUUGCGCAAUGGGCGGAAGCCUGACGCAGCGACGCCGCGUGGGGGAUGACGGCCUUCGGGUUGUAAACCUCUUUCAGCAGGGACGAAGCGAAAGUGACGGUACCUGCAGAAGAAGCACCGGCCAACUACGUG